GAUGAAGAACGUAGCGAAAUGCGAUAAGUAGUGCGAAUUGCAGAAUUCAGUGAAUCAUCGAAUCUUUGAACGCACAUUGCGCCCCUUGGUAUUCCAUGGGGCAUGCCUGUUCGAGCGUCAUUUGUACCUUCAAGCUCUGCUUGGUGUUGGGUGUUUGUCUCGCCUCUGCGUGUAGACUCGCCUCAAAACAAUUGGCAGCCGGCGUAUUGAUUUCGGAGCGCAGUACAUCUCGCGCUUUGCACUCAUAACGACGACGUCCAAAAGUACAUUUUUACACUCUUGACCUCGGAUCAGGUAGGGAUACCCGCUGAACUUAAGCAUAUCAAUAAGCGGAGGA
rnacentral:misc_RNA from 1 species